CGAUGAUUGCUGAGUUGUCUGAACGGGUUGUUGAGUUGCUCGGCUUCUCGUCAACCAAACACUGCCUGCAGAUAACAAAGCUCCUAGAAGCAAUGUAGGUCCCAUUCUUGGGUCUGCUAGGUAAUCUUUGAUUCUGUUCCAUAAGCGCAAGAGUGCUUGUGUUGCUUUCACGCUUUUCGGGACUCCUGACCUCAUCGGUUCAGCACUUUCUGGAACAAGUUCUGGAGUUUUCGCUCUCUGCAAGUGAAAGUGAAAGAUCAAAAGAGAUAUGUUAUAAAGGAACAUGUAAAGAAUGGCAAAACAGUGGUUACUCACAUAGAAUGGUAGGUUUUUGCUGUCGCCAUCUUCAACCAUUUUAGAUAGCCACUUUAUAAUCUACAAAAGGUUAAACCAGGAAUGUAAACAAAAAGUCUAUACCAGAAACUAAUAAGAGUUUUUAUAGUAUUGUACCUCGGGAGUUUCAGCUGGUCCGUCAUAACUAACGACAAGUUGUGCAGCGGGAUCUACAUCGUCAGCUUCAGAUUCCCAAACAGUUUUGGGCCAGUUACUUGAUUUCUUAAAAAAAACAAAAAUGUAACAGAAGAUUCCUAAGGCUUAUAAUAUUAUUAGUCAGAAUCAGAACCUGAAGAUAGAAUCUGGACAGCAUCUUUAGGUUCGUUAUCAGUGAUCGAAGCAGGAGCCUCUUCACCCUUUGCAUUCCUCCUUCGUUGUUCUCUCUUUCUCUCUUUCUUCUUCUCCUCCUCCUCCGUCUGUAAACAAUCAUCAAUCUUUCUUUAUUAGGUUUAUGUCGAAAACGAGGCAUAUAUACACAUACAUUUAUAUAAAUCUAAUCAUUUUAUUACGUUAUUGUCUGACUGAUUCGUCGAUGAUUGCUGAGUUGUCUGAACGGGUUGUUGAGUUGCUCGGCUUCUCGUCCACCAAACACUGCCUGCAGAUAACAAAGCUCCUAGAAGCAAUGUAGGUCCCAUUCUUGGGUCUUCUAGGUAAUCUUUGAUUCUGUUCCAUAAGCGCAAGAGUGCUUGUGUUGCUUUCACGCUUUUCGGGACUCCUGACCUCAUCGGUUCAGUGCUUUCUGGAACAAGUUCUGGAGUUUUCGC
rnacentral:lncRNA from 1 species